rnacentral:lncRNA from 1 species
GCCUACAUAUCACAUAGAAAAUAGAAUCAUAAAACCAUAUAAAUUGUCACUCAAAAAAGGACCAUAAAAAAAUUUCCCAAUCAAUUGUACUUUGCACAUGAGGCUAAAGCAUCUAAGAGCAAUUAAAGAUCUAAUCAGGAAGAUUUAGAUGAAUAGAACUUGGAGCCUCACGCGGUAAUGCAUCAAUUAGGUUUGUCCAAGGAGGCUGAAAUCUGAUUCUGCUCAAAUAAUAAGAUCGACCAAGGAAAGGGUACUGUGCGCACUGGAAGGCCAAUUUGUCACAAACCCUAAUUUCCUUGAGAAUAAGGAAAGAGCUAUCAAUCAAGAGUAUUCAACAAAGGGAAUGGCAGAUACAGCAGACAGAGGUUGAGUCACCCAUCCCAAAAUGAACUGACCGGGUGCAGUAUAAUGCAUAUAUUCAAUAAACUUACUGAAAGUUUGACUUGUAAAAGCCCUUUAGAAGAGAAAAAUGAAAUAAACAGAUAGCAAAUUAUAACUAGGACAUAGCCAGUAGACUGAAAAAUAGAUGUUUACGAGAGCAAGCCAAACUGAAUAGCAAGAUAUAAUUCAGCAAUAUACAUCGUAUACUUCCAUUAAAAUAAGUCUUGGAGGUUUACGAGAACAAACAGAACUAAACAACAAGAUAUGAUUCAGCACAUAUGCUGAAUAUAUUUCAUCAAACUAUUUGGUAGCAAAUAAGACUUGGUAAAUUAACUACAUAGCUGAUUGAACUAUAAUGCAAGCUGUACAAUUCUAAAUCUAUUACAAUUAAAGAAAAACAAACACUACGGAACUUUACAGAUAACAACAACAGCAUCAACAAUAACAACAAAUAAGCUUUAAUCACAAACGUGUGCAAUAAAAGAACGAGGUAAGAGGUCAACAUCACCUAUCGGAAAGGGUAGGUCUUUUGCAAGAAAGCUUUCGAUAGUCUUCCCAUACAAAUAGCAAGUUAGCUAUGGAUGGUUUCCUUCUGCCAGAUCAUAACGAAUCCUUUCAAAAUAAAAAGAGCAAGAAGAGAAGACUUAGAUGAAAGAAACCAGAGAGACAGUGAUAAAGGGCUAAGAAAUUUAAGACAAGGAAACAAAUAGGAAAUAACAAUCUUGUUAAAAUAUGAACUCAAAGCACGAAUCGUUCUUGAUGCUGAUAGAGUUGAUCUUGAUCCAUUGAUUGCAGGAAAUAUCGAGUGGAAAUUCGAAAUGCAACAUGAAAGAAGUCGAGAAUGAGCGAUCGCCAAGGAAAUGUGCGGAAUAAGAGACGCAUCGAAUCAGAAAGAUCGUGGAUUUCAUCAUACAGAUAUAGCACCUAUGAACUAAAUUGCAGGAUUUUAAGAUCGAUCAACGCGAGAGAUCGCUUACCUCUUCGGAUCAACGCUCUUGGGUUUCUAGAUUGGAGGAACCAAAGGGCUUCGCUCUGAGGUUUCUCGAUUGGAGGAGCAGAGAGAUCGGAGGGGAAAGAAGCGGAUCGAAAGGUCGCUCUAGGGUUUUUCGAUUGGAGGAAUAGGGUAAAGAUUCGAAAGAAAGGAGACGAGGGUAUUUGGCGGGGGCGAAAAAGAGGGAGGGAGAUGGGAGAUGGAGAUAGAGAGAGAAGAGCGACGCACGCAAGCGAGGGAUUGCGGUUGGCUUGGCCUCCAACGGCAAGAGUAAACGGAAGCUUUCUUGUUGGAUGAAGGCCCAAGCCCGUCCUUUCAAUUUAAUUGGUUAGCUGGGCUACGGUCUCUAAGACAAUAAGUUUGUGCAGCCCUACCCAACAAGCCUACAACGUCAUUCAUUAGGCUGUCUCAAUUUUUUAUUUUGCUUACGUGUCACAAUUAUUUUUCAAUUUUAGUUUGAAGGUUUAUUAUUUGAAAAAAUUGAGCAUGAAUGAAGCUUUGCAUUAAAAAAUUUAUAAUUUAAAAAUAUAUUACUUUCCAAUUUUGAUAAAUUAAUUAAUUUCUGUGAGUAUAAUCAUCUAAUUUGGUAUAUGAUUUAAAACAUUGGAUUCAGUCCGGCCAACAAAAUAUCGGGCGAACAAACUGGGCCUAUGCACUCAGCCCAAAAGAAAAAGAGUCCAUGAAACAGUCCACUCAGCACAAGCUCUCACCAUGACGAGAGAGUAAGAAAUUUCAACAUGAGGCCUGCUACUAAAUAAAUUCCGGCCCAAUUAUUUUAAAAUACAUCAUACACUUCCAUCAAAAUAAAUAUUGGGGUUACGAGAACAAAUAGAACUAAACAACUAGAUAUGACUCAGCACAUAUACUAGAUAUAUUUCAUCAAACCAAUUGAAAAUUAAAGGUUUACGAGAGCAGAAUGAGCUAAUUGGACAAGAGGAUAUAAUUCAUCACACAAGUACACAACAAAUCAUCCAACUAACUCAUAAUUUGGAGGUUCAUGGGAGUCGCAUAAAUUUUAUCAAACUAACUGCAACUUUGUGGUUUAAGAGAACAAAUUGAACUGAGCAGCAAGACAUGAUUCAACAAUAUGCAGCAUAUAUCUUCAUCAAACUGAAUACUCUUGAGUUUUACGUGAGCAAAAUGAACAAACGAAACAGUAAGAUAUGAUUCGAUCAGCACAUAUACAACAUAGUUUACCAUGAUCUAGCUAAAAAAUAGAGGCUUUUGAGAGCAAAGUUAACUGAAGUGCAAGAUAUGAUUCAGCACCUAUACAACAAAUAUUUCCAUCGAAAUCAAAAAUAUAUAUUUUGGGGAGCAAAAUGAACCAAAAAGAGGCCUACACAUCACAUAGAAAUUCGAAUAAUAAAACCAUAUAAAUUGUCACUCAAAGGACCAUAAAAAAAAAAAUGCCAAUCAAAAAAGCAUACAUAUCGUAAAAUCAAUGGUACUUUGCACAUGAGGCUAAAGCAUCUAAGAGCAAUUAAAGAUCUAAUCUAGAAGAUUUAGAUGAAUAGAACUCGGAGCCUCACGCGGUAAUGCAUCAAUUAGGUUUGUCCAAGGAGGGUGAAAUCUGAUUGUGCUAAAAUACUAGGAUUCACCUACGAAAGUGUACUGUGCACACUGAAAGACCAAUUUUUCAUAAACUCUAAUUUCCUUGAGAAUAAGAAAAGAGCUAUCAGUCAAGGGUAUCUAACAAAGGGAAUGGCAGAUGCAGCAGACAGAGGUUGAGCCACCCAUCCCAUUAUACUAGCAAAAUGAACUGACUGGGCGCAUUAUAAUGCAUAUAUUCAUUAAAGUUAGUGAAAGUUUGACUUUUAGAAGCCUUUUAGAAGAGCAAAAUGAAAUAAACAGAUAGCAAAUUAUAAUUAGAACAUAGCCAGUAGAUAUUUUCAUCAUACUGACUGAAAGAUAGAUGUU